GCCGAGAUAGCUCAGUUGGUAGAGCAACUGAUUCGUAAUCAGUAGGUCGGAGGUUCGACUCCUCUUCUCGGCACCA
rnacentral:tRNA from 2 species